ACGGAAGGCAGCAGUGGGGAAUAUUGGACAAUGGGCGCAAGCCUGAUCCAGCAAUGCCGCGUGGGUGAUGAAGGCCUUCGGGUUGUAAAGCCCUUUCGCACGCGACGAUGAUGACGGUAGCGUGAGAAGAAGCCCCGGCUAACUUCGUGCCAGCAGCCGCGGUAAUACGAAGGGGGCGAGCGUUGUUCGGAAUUACUGGGCGUAAAGGGCGCGUAGGCGGUGCACCAAGUCAGGCGUGAAAGCCCCGGGCUCAACCUGGGAACGGCGCUUGGGACUGGUGCGCUCGAGUUCGGGAGAGGACGGCGGAAUUCCCAGUGUAGAGGUGAAAUUCGUAGAUAUUGGGAAGAACACCGACGGCGAAGGCAGCCGUCUGGACCGACACUGACGCUGAGGCGCGAAAGCGUGGGGAGCAAACAGGAUUAGAUACCCUGGUA
rnacentral:rRNA from 1 species